GGCAAAAGCAGUACAUUUAUAUACAGAAGAGCAGCUCAAUCCUGUGCCUGCAGAGCAGAGAGUUUCAGGGUUUAUACACAGACAGACAGACAGUCCAGGGUUUAUAAACAGACAGACAGACCAGGGUUUAUAAACAGACAGACAGACCAGGGUUUAUACAGACAGACAGACCAGGGUUUAUACAGACAGACAGACCAGGUUUAUACACAGACAGACAAACAGACAGACCAGGGUUAAUAUACAGACAGACAAACAGACAGACCAGGGUUAAUAUACAGACAGACAAACAGACAGACCAGGUUUAUACACAGACAGACAAACAGACAGACCAGGGUUAAUAUAGAGACAGACAAACAGACAGACCAGGUUUAUACACAGACAGACAGACAGACCAGGGUUUAUAAACAGACAGACAGACCAGGGUUUAUACAGACAGACAGACAGACAGACCAGGUUUAUACACAGACAGACAUACAGACAGACCAGGGUUUAUACACAGACAGACAGACCAGGUUUAUACACAGACAGACAGACAGACAGACAGGCAGACCAGGUUUAUACACAGACAGACAGACACACAGACCAGGGUUUAUACACAGACAGACAGACACACAGACCAGGUUUAUACAAAGACAGACAGACAGACCAGGGUUUAUACACAGACAGACAGACAGACCAGGGUUUAUAAACAAACAGACAGACC
ensembl:lncRNA